UUAAGCGACUAAGCGUACACGGUGGAUGCCCUGGCAGUCAGAGGCGAUGAAGGACGUGCUAAUCUGCGAAAAGCGUCGGUAAGGUGAUAUGAACCGUUAUAACCGGCGAUGUCCGAAUGGGGAAACCCAGUGUGAUUCGUCACACUAUCGUUAACUGAAUACAUAGGUUAACGAGGCGAACCGGGGGAACUGAAACAUCUAAGUACCCCGAGGAAAAGAAAUCAACCGAGAUUCCCCCAGUAGCGGCGAGCGAACGGGGAGCAGCCCAGAGUCUGAAUCAGCUUGUGUGUUAGUGGAACGGUCUGGAAAGUCCGACGGUACAGGGUGAUAGUCCCGUACACCAAAAUGCACAGGNUGUGAACUCGAAGAGUAGGGCGGGACACGUGGUAUCCUGUCUGAAUAUGGGGGGACCAUCCUCCAAGGCUAAAUACUCCUGACUGACCGAUAGUGAACCAGUACCGUGAGGGAAAGGCGAAAAGAACCCCGGCGAGGGGAGUGAAAAAGAACCUGAAACCGUGUACGUACAAGCAGUGGGAGCACCUUCGGGUGUGACUGCGUACCUUUUGUAUAAUGGGUCAGCGACUUAUAUUCUGUAGCAAGGUUAACCGUAUAGGGGAGCCGCAGGGAAACCGAGUCUUAACUGGGCGUUAAGUUGCAGGGUAUAGACCCGAAACCCGGUGAUCUAGCCAUGGGCAGGUUGAAGGUUGGGUAACACUAACUGGAGGACCGAACCGACUAAUGUUGAAAAAUUAGCGGAUGACUUGUGGCUGGGGGUGAAAGGCCAAUCAAACCGGGAGAUAGCUGGUUCUCCCCGAAAGCUAUUUAGGUAGCGCCUCGUGAAUUCAUCUUCGGGGGUAGAGCACUGUUUCGGCUAGGGGGUCAUCCCGACUUACCAACCCGAUGCAAACUACGAAUACCAAAGAAUGUUAUCACGGGAGACACACGGCGGGUGCUAACGUCCGUCGUGAAGAGGGAAACAACCCAGACCGCCAGCUAAGGUCCCAAAGUCAUGGUUAAGUGGGAAACGAUGUGGGAAGGCACAGACAGCCAGGAUGUUGGCUUAGAAGCAGCCAUCAUUUAAAGAAAGCGUAAUAGCUCACUGGUCGAGUCGGCCUGCGCGGAAGAUGUAACGGGGCUAAACCAUGCACCGAAGCUGCGGCAGCGACACUAUGUGUUGUUGGGUAGGGGAGCGUUCUGUAAGCCUGCGAAGGUGACCUGUGAGGGUUGCUGGAGGUAUCAGAAGUGCGAAUGCUGACAUAAGUAACGAUAAAGCGGGUGAAAAGCCCGCUCGCCGGAAGACCAAGGGUUCCUGUCCAACGUUAAUCGGGGCAGGGUGAGUCGACCCCUAAGGCGAGGCCGAAAGGCGUAGUCGAUGGGAAACAGGUUAAUAUUCCUGUACUUGGUGUUACUGCGAAGGGGGGACGGAGAAGGCUAUGUUAGCCGGGCGACGGUUGUCCCGGUUUAAGCAUGUAGGCUGGUUGUCCAGGCAAAUCCGGAUAAUCAAGGCUGAGGUGUGAUGACGAGGCACUACGGUGCUGAAGUAACAAAUGCCCUGCUUCCAGGAAAAGCCUCUAAGCAUCAGGUAACAUCAAAUCGUACCCCAAACCGACACAGGUGGUCAGGUAGAGAAUACCAAGGCGCUUGAGAGAACUCGGGUGAAGGAACUAGGCAAAAUGGUGCCGUAACUUCGGGAGAAGGCACGCUGGUGUGUAGGUGAAGCCCCUGCGGGUGGAGCUGAGACCAGUCGAAGAUACCAGCUGGCUGCAACUGUUUAUUAAAAACACAGCACUGUGCAAACACGAAAGUGGACGUAUACGGUGUGACGCCUGCCCGGUGCCGGAAGGUUAAUUGAUGGGGUUAUCCGUAAGGAGAAGCUCUUGAUCGAAGCCCCGGUAAACGGCGGCCGUAACUAUAACGGUCCUAAGGUAGCGAAAUUCCUUGUCGGGUAAGUUCCGACCUGCACGAAUGGCGUAAUGAUGGCCAGGCUGUCUCCACCCGAGACUCAGUGAAAUUGAACUCGCUGUGAAGAUGCAGUGUACCCGCGGCAAGACGGAAAGACCCCGUGAACCUUUACUAUAGCUUGACACUGAACAUUGAGCCUUGAUGUGUAGGAUAGGUGGGAGGCUUUGAAGCGUGGACGCCAGUCUGCGUGGAGCCAACCUUGAAAUACCACCCUUUAAUGUUUGAUGUUCUAACGUUGGCCCCUUACCGGGGUUGCGGACAGUGUCUGGUGGGUAGUUUGACUGGGGCGGUCUCCUCCCAAAGCGUAACGGAGGAGCACGAAGGUUAGCUAAUCCUGGUCGGACAUCAGGAGGUUAGUGCAAUGGCAUAAGCUAGCUUGACUGCGAGCGUGACGGCGCGAGCAGGUGCGAAAGCAGGUCAUAGUGAUCCGGUGGUUCUGAAUGGAAGGGCCAUCGCUCAACGGAUAAAAGGUACUCCGGGGAUAACAGGCUGAUACCGCCCAAGAGUUCAUAUCGACGGCGGUGUUUGGCACCUCGAUGUCGGCUCAUCACAUCCUGGGGCUGAAGUAGGUCCCAAGGGUAUGGCUGUUCGCCAUUUAAAGUGGUACGCGAGCUGGGUUUAGAACGUCGUGAGACAGUUCGGUCCCUAUCUGCCGUGGGCGCUGGAGAAUUGAGGGGGGCUGCUCCUAGUACGAGAGGACCGGAGUGGACGCAUCACUGGUGUUCGGGUUGUCAUGCCAAUGGCACUGCCCGGUAGCUAAAUGCGGAAGAGAUAAGUGCUGAAAGCAUCUAAGCACGAAACUUGCCCCGAGAUGAGUUCUCCCUGAGACUUUAAGUCUCCUGAAGGAACGUUGAAGACGACGACGUUGAUAGGCCGGGUGUGUAAGCGCAGCGAUGCGUUGAGCUAACCGGUACUAAUGAACCGUGAGGCUUAACCUU
rnacentral:rRNA from 1 species